rnacentral:lncRNA from 1 species
CAUGUUUUGAGCUUGUAACUAAAUAGAAAACUCAACUAGCAUAGUUAGAAGGAUAGCUUCAGAAACAUAUGUAUGUGUGUGCUCAGAUAGAAUGUAAUACUACUAUCCGUAAAAUAAUUCAUUAUUUUAUCACUUGUAUGAUUUUUUUAAUAUUAUUAGAAUUUACUAUUUUGCUUUUUGUCUAAACAAUAGUACUUGGGACAGGGGAGAUAAUUAGUGUUGAUUGUCUCCCCUACACAUGGACAAAAACUCACUUAAGUAAAUUUCAUUAUUAUAUUUAGAACAGGAAAGGUAUAUCUUGAAGAAUAAUAACUUGCUCAUGCACCUAAAAGAGAAGCAUAUAAGGACUCGAGUAUAUAAAUAGUGUGGUGCACAGUGUAUAGAACCAAAAGAAAUUUUGAAAAACAUAGCAAAUAAUAUUUAUUUUUACAAUAUACAAUGUGUUUGUUGUGCAAACAUUAAAGGUAGUGAAAUAGGCAUAAUGAUGACAUCUAUUAAUUUAUAAUAUACGAGCUUAGUAGAAAUGCCCUGCUAUAUUUAUAUCUUUUCUAUAUUAAGUAUCAUAUUACUUGGAAAUAUUGUAAACAGCAUUUAUAAGAAAAGUAUUACUGUAUUUAUAUAAUAUAAGUUGAUUGGCAUAUGAUAUCUAUACCUUUUGUAUUUCGAUAUUUCCUGGGCUAUUUUCUAUAUCACUAAUUUGAUUUUAAACAUUAUACACAGAUGAUGACAGAAAAAUGCAACAUAACAAUAAAAAAAAAGACAAUAUACAUGUAUCAAAAUAACAUUUCUCUGUGGCUAAGGGAAGCAACUCAUAUUGAUAUGUUACAUACACUUUCAUAUGAAAAACAUCCACUUUUUAUCCUUUCAUUUAUGAUAUAUUCGGAAAUUGAUUUGAUAUUGAUAUUCGAAACAAUUUGUGCAAACAGCAGCUAGUACUGAACACAUACAGAAAAAUUUUAUGCAUACUUUAAUUGAAUUCAUCAUCUAAAUUAUUUU